CACCGCCCGUCCACACCACUGGAGGUCGAUUGCUCCAGAAGUGGCUGCGCCAACCCGCAAGGGAGGUAGGUCCCCAAGGAGUGAUCGGUGACUGGGGUG
rnacentral:rRNA from 1 species